CAAUAGCGUAUAUUAAAGCUGUUGCGGUUAAAAAGCUCGUAGUUGGAUUUCUGUCAAGGACAACUGGUCCGCCCUCCGGGUGAGCACAUAGUUUGGUCUUGGCAUCUUGCUGGAAACUGUUGCUGCGCUUGGUUGUGUGGUGCAGCUUUCAGCACUUUCACUUUGAGGAAAUUGGAGUGUUUCAAGCAGGCACAUGCCUUUGGACACAGUAGCAUGGAAUAAUUAGAUUGGGCUUUUGCUCCAACUUGUUGGUUCCUGGAGCUGAGGUGAGAAUCAAUGGGGACUGUUGGGGGCAUCCGAAUUUAGCCGUCAGAGGUGAAAUUCUUGGAUCUGCUAAAGACGGACAACUGCGAAAGCGUUUGCCCAGGAUGUUUUCAUUGA
rnacentral:rRNA from 1 species